rnacentral:rRNA from 1 species
GGAAUUUUGGACAAUGGGCGCAAGCCUGAUCCAGCAAUGCCGCGUGAGUGAAGAAGGCCUUCGGGUUGUAAAGCUCUUUUGUCAGGGAAGAAACGGUGAGGGCUAAUAUCCCUUGCUAAUGACGGUACCUGAAGAAUAAGCACCGGCUAACUACGUGCCAGCAGCCGCGGUAAUACGUAGGGUGCAAGCGUUAAUCGGAAUUACUGGGCGUAAAGCGUGCGCAGGCGGUUUUGUAAGUCUGAUGUGAAAUCCCCGGGCUCAACCUGGGAAUUGCAUUGGAGACUGCAAGGCUAGAAUCUGGCAGAGGGGGGUAGAAUUCCACGUGUAGCAGUGAAAUGCGUAGAUAUGUGGAGGAACACCGAUGGCGAAGGCAGCCCCCUGGGUCAAGAUUGACGCUCAUGCACGAAAGCGUGGGGAGCAAACAGGAUUAGAUACCCUAG